GUGUCAGCAGCCGCGGUAAGACAGAGGCCCCGAGCGUUAGGCGGAAUCACUGGGCUUAAAGCGCGUGUAGGCGGAGGGCUAAGUACCUUGUGAAAUCCCCGGGCUCAACCCGGGAACUGCUCGGUAUACUGGCCUUCUUGAGGCAUCUAGGGGCGAGCGGAACAAACGGUGGAGCGGUGAAAUGCGUAGAUAUCGUUUGGAACGCCAACGGAGAAAUCAGCUCGCUGGGGAUGUCCUGACGCUGAGACGCGAAAGCCAGGGGAGCAAACGGGAUUAGAUACCCCGGUAGUCC
rnacentral:rRNA from 1 species